rnacentral:rRNA from 1 species
CCUACGGGUGGCAGCAGUGGGGGAUAUUGGACAAUGGGGGAAAGCCUGACCCAGCGACGCCGCGUGAGGGAAGAAGGCUUUCGGUUUGUAAACCUCUAUCAGCAGGGAAGAAAGAAAUGACGGUACCUGAGGAAUAAGCCACGGCUAACUACGUGCCAGCAGCCGCGGUAAUACGUAGGGGGCAAGCGUUAUCCGGAAUUACUGGGUGUAAAGGGCGCGUAGGCGGGAAAGCAAGUCAGGAGUGAAAGCCGGGGGUCCACCCUCUGGACUGCAUUUGAAACUGUGUAACUGGAGUGCUGGAGAGGCAGGCGGAAUUCCUAGUGUAGCGGUGAAAUGCGUAGAUAUUAGGAGGAACACCAGUGGCGAAGGCGGCCUGCUGGACUGUAACUGACGCUGAGGCGCGAAAGCGUGGGGAGCAAACAGGAUUAGAUACCCGUGUAGUC